UACGGAAGGGGCAAGCGUUGUUCGGAAUCAUUGGGCGUAAAGGGCGCGUAGGUGGUUCUGUAUGUCUACCGUGAAAGCGUACGGCUCAACCGUAUUUUGUCGGUAGAAACUGCAGGACUUGAGGCUGGGAGGGGCUGGUGGAAUUCCCUGUGUAGCGGUGAAAUGCGUAGAUAUCUGGAGGAACGCCGGUGGCGAAGGCGGCGUCCUGGACCAACACUGACACUGAUGAGCGAAAGCCAGGGGAGCAAACGGG
rnacentral:rRNA from 1 species